UACGUAGGGUGCGAGCGUUGUCCGGAAUUACUGGGCGUAAAGGGCUCGUAGGCGGCCAACUAAGUCAGACGUGAAAUCCCUCGGCUUAACCGGGGAACUGCGUCUGAUACUGGAUGGCUUGAGAUUGGGAGAGGGAUGCGGAAUUCCAGGUGUAGCGGUGAAAUGCGUAGAUAUCUGGAGGAACACCGGUGGCGAAGGCGACAUCCUGGACCAACACUGACGCUGAGGAGCGAAAGCCAGGGGAGCAAACGGG
rnacentral:rRNA from 1 species